GUGGGCUGAGGUAGUAGAUUGUAUAGUUCUGGGUCACACCCGCGCGGAGAUAACUAUACAGCCUACUGUCUUUCCUGC
rnacentral:pre_miRNA from 1 species